rnacentral:rRNA from 1 species
CCUACGGGAGGCAGCAGUGGGGAAUAUUGGACAAUGGGGGCAACCCUGAUCCAGCCAUGCCGCGUGUGUGAAGAAGGCCCUCGGGUUGUAAAGCACUUUCAGUGAGGAAGAACGCCUGGUGGUUAAUACCCAUCAGGAAAGACAUCACUCACAGAAGAAGCACCGGCUAACUCCGUGCCAGCAGCCGCGGUAAUACGGAGGGUGCGAGCGUUAAUCGGAAUUACUGGGCGUAAAGCGCGCGUAGGUGGCUUGAUAAGCCGGUUGUGAAAGCCCCGGGCUCAACCUGGGAACGGCAUCCGGAACUGUCAAGCUGGAGUGCAGGAGAGGAAGGUAGAAUUCCCGGUGUAGCGGUGAAAUGCGUAGAGAUCGGGAGGAAUACCAGUGGCGAAGGCGGCCUUCUGGACUGACACUGACACUGAGGUGCGAAAGCGUGGGUAGCAAACAGGAUUAGAUACCCGAGUAGUC